UGAUGAAGUACAGUAAACCUUCUAUGAUGUGGGAGACUCUUGUAUAAAUUAGUGUGUGUUGGAAUCUUGUGGAAGCAGUCAUGACUGUAGCCAAAGUUUGGAAGUUACUGAGGCAGCCAGUUGGAAGGCCCACACCAGAAAACUUCAUCUGUGUGGAGGAGCAGCUGCCACCAUGUGAUGAUGGAGAUGUUAUAACUGAAGCUGAAUAUCUAAGUGUGGACCCUUACAUGAGAUACAAAAUUCGACAGAUCCCUCUCAACUCCACAUGGUGGGCUCACAAGUUGCCAGG